rnacentral:rRNA from 1 species
GACUGCGGUCAUACCAGCACUAAUGCAUCGGAUCCCAUUACAACUCCGCAGCCAAGCGUGCUUGGGGGAGAGUAGUACUAGGAUGGGUGACCUCUUGGGAAGUCCUCGUGUUGCAUCCC